rfam:Calothrix sp. HK-06 NIES-2101_Scaffold_80, whole genome shotgun sequence.
GGGCGUGUAGCUCAGUGGAUAGAGCGUCAGGUUCCGGUCCUGUAGGUCGGGGGUUCGAGUCCCUCCACGCUCG